UACGGAAUGUGCAAACGUUAUUCGGAAUCACUGGGCUUAAAGAGUCCGUAGGCGGCAUGUUCGGUGAGGUGUGAAAUCCCCCGGCCCAACCGAGGAAUUGCGCUUCAAACCGGCGUGCUUGAGGAAGAUAGAGGUGGGCGGAACUGAUGGUGGAGCGGUGAAAUGCGUUGAUAUCAUCAGGAACACCGGAGGCGAAGGCGGCCCACUGGGUCUUUUCUGACGCUGAGGGACGAAAGCUAGGGGAGCGAACGGG
rnacentral:rRNA from 1 species